rnacentral:rRNA from 1 species
UACGUAGGGUGCAAGCGUUAAUCGGAAUUACUGGGCGUAAAGCGUGCGCAGGCGGUUUUGUAAGUCUGACGUGAAAUCCCCCGGGCUUAACCUGGGAAUUGCGUUGGAGACUGCAAGGCUGGAGUCUGGCAGAGGGGGGUAGAAUUCCACGUGUAGCAGUGAAAUGCGUAGAGAUGUGGAGGAACACCGAUGGCGAAGGCAGCCCCCUGGGUCAAGACUGACGCUCAUGCACGUAAAGCGUGGGGAGCAAACGAAGGUAGAAACCGUAG